CUCCAUCAUCUUCCUCUGACAUUUGUAGCUUUCUGCAGGACACAGGGCUGCAGCAGAGCAGCAGUAGUGCCGUUCCCAUGCUGAGCAUUAUCAGGAGUGAUGAGGACACCCAGUCUUCUGCUUCGUGGGGCCAGAGGAUGGGUUCCGUACCCUGUGCAGAAGGACUGGCUUUGCAGGGGAUGCAGAUACAGUGCAGGGCAGGCAGGUCGUGCAGCCUUGCUUCCUGCUAUGUACACUGCAACCAGUUGCAGCUAUGCUGAAUGCAAGGAGAGAGCACUGCCAUGACUCUGAGUUCUAUGAUGAGGGCUUACACCCUGACUUGAGAGUUCACAUGAGCCCGGAAACAUCAAAGGCUCUUUUUGUCUCUUCUUAAGCUCGCAGGUUUUUAUUUGGAUUUUUCUUUUCUUGGUAAGUUUCUAAAUAUACACUCACUUGCUGGUUAUCAAUAGGGGGACCUCACCUUAUUUGAUGCUGUUCUCACUUCGUAGGAACUGACAUGUGCUGCUUAGCCACUUGGCUUGAUGGAGAAUGGAGUUUUCCAGCAGCUGGAGGCAUGGGAGCUGCUCCUUGUGCAACCAUCAUCUGGGCAGUGGCACAUCAGGCACAGUGCAGAAAGCUGCCUCUGUUCUGGGGCACUUAACCAGGUAUUUUCAUUUGAAAAGGCCCAAACUAUGAUUGCCUGAAAAGUGAAAACAGUAUUUUCUGAUGGAUCAGGGGAAGCACAGUUUUCACUAUGGCAGCAAAUAACAAAAAUAGGAGGUUGCUUUUUAUUUCCACCGAAUUGGGCACAGUCUCCUCUGUCUCUGAGGCACUUGGCACAAAACAAUGCUGCUCCUGUUGGGAUGCUGCAUGCCGGUGCAUUGCAGAGAAGAGGCAGGUCACAGUUCCCUGGCAGCAUUUCCCCCUCCACACAAAUAUGCCAAUUCAGCAGACUUCCCAGCUUGCUGUGCUGAUUCCUGCGCUGGGCACAGCCAGGUGUCACGCAGGUGAAGCUGCACAUGAACAUGCAGGAGGCCCAGAGGGCUUUAUCUGUUUUCUCCGUGCGGCUGAGAGAGCACUCAAAGGCGCCUGCUGGCUUUGUAUGCUCAGUGCCAUGGAGAAGAAAAUCGAUGUGGGUACUGCAGAUGGCUUCAGUGUUUCAGGACAAUCCAGGCUGCCUUCCGGUGAGAACAGAACUGAUUUACUCUUAAGAGCUUAACUUUACUGACCAUUAUGUUUUAUUUCAUUAUUCAAAGGCAAGCACUGAGCGAGCAUUUUCUCAACAUGCCCAGUUCUUUCAGGUGGAAAGAGUAUUUCUGACACUAAGAAUGGAGAGAAAGAGAAGAAGAUGUGGUCUCACAAUGAGGUUGGAUUCUGCUCUGAGUUCCCCAUCCAGCUGGUCUCUAAGGCAUUCAUCACCGUGGUUUGGGAGCACCACUGAAGGAAACAGGAGCGCUGCAUGCAGCAUAGCUGCAGAAUCCAACCCCUAUUUGACAAUGAUCAAGUCUGACAUUGACAAGCACUUAUACCCCAUUCUCUGGCUCUUUUUUUUUUUUUUUUUUGGCCUCGGAUACACGUGUUGUCUGGC
ensembl:lncRNA